AAACCUUCGAUGUGUCAAAACCUUCAGACACAGUGAAGCAGCUUCAACUCUCAAAACCCCAACUCGUAAUCAAAACACAGAGAUUUGUUUAGUUGAAAAUCUAGAAAACCAAAUCAUAACCCAUUAAACCAGAUCUAAAAUGUCAAAAAAUUCUUAAACCUAGAAAAUCAAUUUUUCCUAAAAUCGAAAAUCGAUACAUCAGAUAGUUGGUUGCGUUGUUGAUUAUCAUCAGGUUUAUGCCCUCAAGUUUUAAAACUACUCAAUCUUGGAGAACUUUGUUCUGCCUUCGUUAGUGCACUGUGUAGUAGAGCUUCUCUUUUACCACAUAUAGAACACAAAGUUCAACUACAUGGCGUGGAGGGGGGUUUUCUAUGUUUUCUUUAUGAUCCUCUCAGUGGCCGAGUCUUCAAGUCGUUCCGGGAAAGUUUGGUCGGUCAACCUUGGAGGUGAAUUGAUAUAUGGAUGGCCAGUUCUCACUACUGGAGUAUCUGUUCUUGUUGCUAUUUCUCUAUCUUUAUUUCUUCUCUUAGAGCAUAUAGCUGCUUAUAAUCAUCACGAGGUUUGUUGUGCCAUAACUAAUUGAUGUGGUCAGCUUUUGUAUAUCUUUUGUUACUUUUGUUUCGGUUUCUUAUUUGCUGAUUUAGUUUUUCUUGACCUUAGACUAAUGGUUUAAUCAUCAUCUUACUUCAGGAACAGAAAUUUCUGAUCGAAAUCAUCCUCAUGGUGUCUGUUUAUGCAUUAGAAUGAAUAUGUGAUCUCACAACCUUUUAUUUGAGAAGCUCCUUUUAAUUUUUUAUAGCAUGGAAGGUGUGGGCGUAUUUACUGCAUUUCUUUGUUGUGUAAAUCCAUUAUUAUGUCGUCAAGUUGAGAUGUGCACUUGUUUGCAACUUCUGUUGAUGUUGUUGGAGUGCUAAGCUUAGGAAUGUCUAUUGGAAUAACUAGAGAUAGCACUUCAUUACCCACAUGUCUAUUAGCAUCAAGUUGAUUGUAACUCUAAAUUGGCUUUAGAUAGGAGUGUCAAUCUAGUUUCUGUAUCUCUAAGUCCAUGAUAAGAAUACUACAAUAGUAUGAAACCCUUCUCCAUCAAUAGUAUGUGGAUGUAUUACAGAUGAAAACAUGUAGCUCUACGACACAGUGCUAUAUAGAUUGAGCAUGCUUGAUAAUAGAUGAUAAUCCGAUUGAACUCGGUAUGACCAAUAUGAAGGUGAUGAGCAAACUGGUAGCAAUCUCCUGCAAGUGUAUGAAAAUGGACAAUAUAUUCUCAAUUCAGCACUGAAGAUGUUGUUGUUGUUGGUGUAGGAGGCAUCUUUUUAGGACCCCUUUUUGUAUGCACUUCACUUCAAACGGGUUUUUUUUCUUUUUUUUUCAAUUUUUCUAUUGAACUUUUGGUACCAAAUUUAUUCACAAUUUGGCUGUAGAAAAAAUCUG